AACACAUGCAAGUCGAACGGCAGCACAGAGGAGCUUGCUCCUUGGGUGGCGAGUGGCGGACGGGUGAGGAAUACGUCGGAAUCUGCCUAUUUGUGGGGGAUAACGUAGGGAAACUUACGCUAAUACCGCAUACGACCUACGGGUGAAAGUGGGGGACCGCAAGGCCUCACGCAGAUAGAUGAGCCGACGUCGGAUUAGCUAGUUGGCGGGGUAAAGGCCCACCAAGGCGACGAUCCGUAGCUGGUCUGAGAGGAUGAUCAGCCACACUGGAACUGAGACACGGUCCAGACCCCUACGGGAGGCAGCAGUGGGGAAUAUUGGACAAUGGGCGCAAGCCUGAUCCAGCCAUGCCGCGUGUGUGAAGAAGGCCUUCGGGUUGUAAAGCACUUUUGUCCGGAAAGAAAAGCUUAGGGUUAAUAACCCUGAGUCAUGACGGUACCGGAAGAAUAACACCGGCUAACUUCGUGCCAGCAGCCGCGGUAAUACAAAGGGUGCAAGCGUUCUCGGAAUUCUGGCGU
rnacentral:rRNA from 1 species